ACGAACGCUGGCGGCGUGCUUAACCCAUGCCAGUCGCACGGAAAGGCCUCUUUCGGGGGGUACUCGAGUGGCGAACGGGUGAGUAACACGUGAGUAACCUGCCCUUGACUUUGGGAUAACUUCAGGAAACUGGGGCUAAUACCGGAUAGGAGCUCCUGCUGCAUGGUGGGGGUUGGAAAGUUUCGGCGGUUGGGGAUGGACUCGCGGCUUAUCAGCUUGUUGGUGGGGUAGUGGCUUACCAAGGCUUUGACGGGUAGCCGGCCUGAGAGGGUGACCGGCCACAUUGGGACUGAGAUACGGCCCAGACUCCUACGGGAGGCAGCAGUGGGGAAUAUUGCACAAUGGGUGGAAGCCUGAUGCAGCAACGCCGUGUGCGGGAUGACGGCCUUCGGGUUGUAAACCGCUUUCGCUCAUGACGAAGCUUUGUGUGACGGUAGUGGGUAAAGAAGCACCGGCUAACUACGUG
rnacentral:rRNA from 1 species